rnacentral:lncRNA from 1 species
CCCUUGCUUUUACAGUCUUGGAAAAGUUGAGCUCUGCAGCUUACAAAGAGCUCGAAAUCAUUUGGAAUUUCAAAGAGGAUAUGGAACGAAUGAAGAACACCGUCUCCAUGAUAACAGCCGUGCUUCUCGAUGCAGAGGCCAAGGCCAAUAAUCAUCAAGUUAGUAAUUGGUUGGAGAAACUGAAAGAUGUACUUUACGAUGCAGAUGAUUUACUAGAAGAUUUUUCCAUCGAAGCUUUGAGAAGAAAAGUGAUGGCUGGAAACAACAGAGUAAGACGGACGCAAGCUUUCUUCUCAAAAUCAAACAAAAUUGCCUGUGGCCUUAAAUUGGGCUAUCGAAUGAAAGCAAUCCAAAAGAGGCUAGAUGACAUUGCUAAAACUAAGCAUGAUCUGCAGCUGAAUGACCGCCCUAUGGAGAAUCCAAUUGCAUAUAGGGAGCAGAGACAAACUUACUCAUUUGUGAGUAAAGAUGAAGUUAUUGGAAGAGAUGAGGAAAAGAAAUGUAUUAAAAGUUAUCUACUAGAUGACAAUGCAACAAAUAAUGUUUCUAUAAUUCCCAUAGUUGGCAUUGGAGGAUUAGGUAAGACUGCACUUGCUCAACUUGUCUACAAUGAUAAUGAUGUUCAAGGGCAUUUUGAGCUAAAAAUGUGGGUGCAUGUCUCGGAUGAAUUUGAUAUAAAGAAAAUAUCUAGGGAUAUCAUUGGGGAUGAAAAGAACGGUCAAAUGGAGCAAGUACAACAGCAACUUAGGAACAAAAUUGAAGGGAAAAAGUUUUUGCUUGUGUUAGAUGACGUGUGGAAUGAGGAUCAUGAGUUGUGGCUUAAAUUGAAGAGUAUGUUCAUGGAUGGAGGAAAAGGAAGUAUGAUAAUUGUUACAACUCGUAGUCAGACUGUGGCAAAAAUAACGGGCACACAUCCACCCCUUUUCCUAAAAGGUUUGGAUUCACAAAAAUCCCAGGAGCUAUUCUCUCGAGUGGCCUUCUGCGAGUUGAAAGAACAAAAUGAUUUGGAGUUGUUAGCUAUAGGAAUGGACAUUGUUAAGAAAUGUGCUGGCGUUCCCCUUGCCAUAAGAACUAUUGGCAGCCUUUUGUUUGCUCGAAAUUUGGGCCGGAGUGACUGGCUUUAUUUCAAGGAUGCCGAGUUUUCAAAGAUAGAUCAACACAAGGAUAAAAUCUUUGCAAUCCUUAAACUGAGUUAUGAUCAUCUUCCGUCGUUUCUAAAAAAGUGCUUUGCCUAUUGUUCACUGUUUCCAAAAGGUUUUAUGUUUGAAAAGAAGACACUGAUUCAGUUAUGGGUAGCUGAGGGGUUCAUUCAACAAUCAAAUGAUAUUAGAUGUGUAGAAGAUGUUGGUCAUGAGUACUUCAUGAGUUUGCUGUCAAUGUCUUUCUUUCAAGAUGUUUCUAUAGACGAUUGUGGUGGAAUAAGUACCUGUAAAAUGCAUGACAUUAUGCAUGAUCUAGCGCAACUAGUGACCGGGAAUGAAUAUGUCGUGGUUGAAGGAGAAGAACUAAACAUAGGAAACAGAACACGUUAUUUGUCAUCUCGUAGGGGUAUACAACUAUCACCAAUCUCAUCAUCUUCCUACAAGUUAAGGACAUUUCACGUGGUCAGUCCACAAAUGAAUGCAAGCAAUCGUUUUCUUCAGUCAGAUGUUUUUUCCUUCUCAGGCUUAAAGUUCUUGCGUGUGUUGACACUUUGUGGGUUGAAUAUUGAAGAAAUCCCAAAUAGUAUUGAAGAAAUGAAGCAUUUAAGAUAUAUUGAUCUAUCACGGAACAAUGUACUUAAAAAUCUUCCUCCGACCAUUACUAGCCUACUGAACUUGCAAACUCUAAAACUUUCUGAUUGUUCUAAGCUUGAAAUAUUGCCAGAAAAUCUCAAUAGAAGUCUCAGGCAUCUUGAGUUAAAUGGUUGCGAGAGUUUGACAUGUAUGCCAUGUGGGCUAGGACAGUUGACUGAUCUUCAAACACUAACACUUUUUGUACUGAACUCUGGAAGUACAAGUGUAAAUGAGUUGGGUGAGCUAAACAACCUGAGAGGGAGAUUAGAAUUAAAAGGGUUGAAUUUCCUGCGAAAUAAUGCUGAAAAGAUUGAAUCUGCAAAAGUACUUCUUGAGAAGUGACACCUUCAACAAUUGGAAUUGCGAUGGAAUCAUGUCGACGAGGAUCCUUUUGAGGAUGAUCUCUCAUCACCAAACAAAAAUUUGGUGGAAGAUGAGAUCAUUUUUCUAGGCCUGCAGCCACACCACCACUCACUUCGAAAACUAGUUAUAGAUGGGUUUUGUGGCAGCAGGUUACCAGACUGGAUGUGGAAUCUCUCAUCGCUCUUGACUCUUGAGUUCCACAAUUGCAAUAGUUUGACAUCACUGCCCGAAGAAAUGAGUAACCUUGUAUCUUUGCAGAAACUUUGCAUUUCUAACUGCUUAUCAUUAAACUGGAAUAAAAUCUCUAGCAUCCGAGAAGUUAAGAUCAUCAGGCGCGGAACCAGGUAUUGUUGUUUGCUAUUUGCACAAAUAAUAUUACUUUUAUGUUAUUUGCACAUGAUUUUUGUCUUGCAGCUCCUCACCCAAGAUGCCAAGACUAAAUCACACUCACACGUCUCAUAAAAGGACUUUAAAAUUCAAUGCUAUUAAUUUUCUCAUAAAAGGACUUUUAGUACUAUUAUUUUCUUUGAUAGUAUAAAUUUAAUAUUAAUAAUAAUAAUAAUUAAGAAAGCUAAAAUUUUGCACCCUAACGCAGGAUUCUGAAUACGCCACUGAAGUUCAUUCCUGGGAGACCAUCAUUACUCAAGUAUUUUACUUGAGUCAAAAUCUUUCCUCAAUCAUGGAGGUAUUUCUGAAUCCACUCUCUUAUAUCCAUCAACUUUUUAUGACCUUUGAUGAUGGUACAUUUUGCAAUUAUUGAGUUAGCUUUCUCUUGACCUUUAUGCCUAACUUUUGCUUUGAUGUUCUGCAUUUGUUCUGAUAUUCAAUUUUUCAUCACUUGGAUCAUUUUGGUUUUGAUAUUUGGCUGGACUAUACAUACAUCCGUUUAGAUAAAUGGAUUCCGUGAUUUUAUUUAUUAUAACAUCAUGUGUCUAUUUUCUGAUUUGGAAUUUAUUUUUUUGUUUCUCCAAAAACUAGUAGCUUUUAGGUUUGCAGUUAUUGUAGCUACUAUGUUGUUUUUUUGGAAGCUAUUUAAACCUGAAAAAACUAGUUUACCCAAUAUUCCUUUUUUAUAAUGUUACCUCGGUGACAUAGAAAAUGUGUAUCUGAUUAUUAGUAGCAAUAUUCCUUUAUUAUUGCUUUCUCUUUUUUGAUGAUUAAAUGUUGGCCAAUAACUACUGCAGGAACAAGGGAGUUGCUAAACUGUUCUAAGGAGCAAAAUGGUGGUCAAUAAAUUGGUAACACUGUCCAUGAUGACUUCACUGUUUUAUGAAAAUGUGUCCAUUGUUCCUUGGAAGAUCAUCAAUAAUUGGAAGAACUCUAUCUCUCUCCUACAUAUUAUGCACUUUAGAGUACCUCAUAUUUGGUCCCCUUUGGUUCUCUAUGUAUAUUUGUUUUUGUGAUUAAUAUGAUAUUGUAGUUGUUGCAAGAGAUUGGUUUUUCCUUUGGUGUCAACCUAGUUGGGAUCAUUGGUUUGGACAAUGAUGUAUUUUCAUUCCUUCAUUUUUAUAAACAUAAAUCUUACUGGGCUAUGUAAAUUUGGCAUAACUAAACCAGCGAAACAAACUAUCAUUAACAUGUUGUGAACGGAUUGCCAUCAUUGGAUUCAGAUUUAACAGCAUUCAUUUCUUACCAGGAACAAUUAAUAUAUGAAGAAGACACAUUGACCACUAAAACUAUUUGAAAAAUAGCAGCUCAUUUCCAGUGUAAUAGAAGUGGAUACACAUGGGUAGGAACUUUGUCUACAUAUAUAUACAUACAUUACUGUGUUGUAUACGAUACACAUAGAUUCAUGUGCGACGCACAAGUGCGCGGACAAGUUUAUAUAUUCAAAUUUUCAGGACUGUUUUGAGAGAAAAAGGUGUGACACAAACCUAGGGUUGAUCAAAGGGGAUUCUUAGGGUUUCUAAAGCUAGGAGUAAAGUCAUUUUGGGUCACAUUCUAGGGUUAAGAAACAAUCAAAGCCACAUGAAGAGAUUUGGGGUAAGGGCAGAAAUUAAGGUUUAUCAUCAUAAGUUAAUUUCAUGUGAUCUGGAUAUCUCUUUGGAAAGAAACUCUUUGAUAUUAAAUUGGAGAAUUUUUCAGCGUCUGAAGCAGAGUUAUGAAAUGGAGUGGUUUAGAACACAAACACAAAGAGAAAGAGAGAGACACAAAACAAUUUAUACUAGUUCAUCUCACUAACCGAUAGUAGUCUAGUCCCCUUGCACUUUCAAGAGAUUUUCACUAUAAUCACUAAAUAUUACUGAUGUAGUAUCAAAAGUAAGUAUUUUUGUUAUCGUCUCCACAUGGACUAGUGCGAUAUUCUAAGCCGUUCAACAAUCAGUAUCGUUCUGAGCUAAGGAUUCGAUAUUUUUUUGUUUCAUGAACUAUAAAACUACAGACUUGUAAGAGAUAUGAGAGUUAACAAGGAAAUGAUUAUGUUGGGAUUAAACUUCAUCAACCUACAUAUACGUAUUCUAGGAUUAGUGUUGCGGAUUCUAAUUAUCAAUUGAUAUUAUCACAUAUUGCUCAACAACAUCAUUCGUGUCCAAUUGAUGUCGUGAUUUCUAUUGAGUCGUCUAAUCGUCGAUUUCCCAAACUAUUAAACUUUCCAAUAGUCGAUUGUAUCGUUGUAUAGUUGACUUUUCAAACUAUACAAUGAUACGAAAGCUUUAAGUUCCAAUAUUCAAAGUGAUUAUCAAACCUAAGUUCCAUGUCUAGAACCUAAGCAUUGAUAGAAGAUUAUUCUCAACUAGAUUCAAAAUGUAUUUUUCAAUAACAAUUUAAAUCCAUAGGAUAGAAAUGAAAAGCAAGAAUAACAUCAAUAUCUUAAGAUAAUUUAGAAUCACACAACAUCCAAAUCAAAGGGAAUACAUACUAAUAGAGUUAACUACAUUUAAUCCCAACAAAAAGAGUUUAGCUACUCAUUGUCAUGGUAACCUUACAAGGAGAAAAGAAGAGAUGGAAUGGAAGCAAGCCAUGAUGUCUCAAUGAUCUUGUGAAUCCCUUCAAUCCUUGUGCCUCUUGCUCAUUGAAGUUCUCUUUGUGUUUUCCCUAUUUUCUCUCUUCCUAAAGUGGCUUCUGCAUAUAAGUUAAACAAUGAAUGUCGGUCUCCUGCAUAUAAGUUAAGCACAUUGAGGUAUCCUCACAUUUAGGCUAGUUCUAAGUGGUUCACAAUUAAACACGUUAUUGCGAAGAACCAAAUGAAGUAAAAUUUGUGCAAAGUACUUGCUUCAGAUUCAAGUAAACACCUAGAAAAGCAAGAAACUUAUACCUUGGCUUUGUGCAAUUCAAACAAUAUGUAUCAUCACCAUGCACCUGAUGUGGAUUUGCUGGCCUAAGCUCUUAUUAGAAAGAUAUGAGAAAACUUAGUUUGAUCUAAAUUAAAACCAUAAGGUUGCAGGAGCUUGUGGUAUACCAUAGUGCAAAAGGGUUACCUAUGACAUAGUCUUUAAUCAAACAAUGCAAAAGAAGUAUGUACUGCCUAGAAAUCAAAAAGUGACUGACCUGCUGCAACUCGCCUCGCGAGAAUAUGCUCGCUAUGGCGAGCAAUUUGGUGGUCAAUGCAGUUCAAAGGCAUGAAACACUUGCCAUGGCGAGUAUGUGCUCGCCUAGCGAGUCAUGACAGUUUCAGAAAAUGAAUUUUGACUUCUGCUUUUACUUUUGUGGGUGCAAUGUGAUCUAUACCUCUAAAUUGCAAAAAUAAAGCAUGAAAAACUUAAACAAGGUUGGGUUGCCUCCCAACAAGCUCUUGUUUAAUGUCGUUAGCUCGACACCUUUUUUGUUAGGGUGGCCGAAAUGAAACGGAAAACACAUCAUCUUUUGGAAUCAUGCGCUUUGGGAGGAAUUCCAUGAACUUUAGGUACAACUGAUGCGGAGUCCAUAUCCUCCCUAACUUUGGUUUGUUGAACAAGGCACAUAUCUCAUCUAUGACCCGAUCAAUCUCCACCUUGUUCACUUUCUUCCCCUUUCCUUCCAUUGAUUCUUCCUUGCUUAGUAUCCGUUCCUUUUUCUCUGUCCCCUGCAUCACUUCUUCAUUUUCAACAGUUUCGACCUCUUCAGUAUAUGGCCGUUCUUGAGGAAAUUCUUCUUUAUGUGAUGUGUCUAUUUCUUGUGCAGUUUCAAAUUCACCACAUCCUUCCAUUGUUGUGCCUUCCUCAGUUUGAUCAACUCCUUCCUCAACAAUCUCACUGAAUUCCUCAUUCUCAGUUGAAACAUCUUCGUGCUUUUCAUGAAGGAAUCAAUUGCUGAUUUGAACAUCUAUGUCUGAAAGUUGCAACUGGAUUUUCUCCAUUCGGCAUGAUAAAUUUUUCAAUCUUUGGUUAGUAUCUUGCAUGUUUAUCAUGGAUUUCUCCAUGAACAGAUUCAAAAUAUUUUUCAUCUUUGAUAUUUGUUCAUCUUCAGAAAGAUGUUGUUGAUACUGUUGAUAUGAUUCAUACUCGAAUGGAGUGUAGAAGUUGUUAUAACUAUGAUUAGCCAUGAUUUCGUUUAUGUGACAAACCUGAAACGGAAACAACUAACAAGAAACUUUUCUUUGUAUACCAAAGAAGGGUUAGUGCAAACAACUAUAUGUGCUCCCCGAUUUUCGGAUAUCAAACCAUUGAUUGAUUUGAAUCGUCAAUCUUUGAACUCUCAAUUUUUAUUCGUGGGAAGGGAAAAAAUGAGUAAAAACCCUUAUCGAGACUUUGGAUUCGGGGGUUGGUUUCGAAUAGGGAAGGUGUUAAGCACCCUAAACGACUUCGGUACUCCGAAGGAACCGCUUACCUAGAUUAUCUUGUGCUAAAUUCAUUUGGCUUACUUGAAAAAUUAUUAUCUAAAAUCUAAGUGAAAGAAUGGAGGGAGAAGAAAUAUGUUUUUGGUUUUUUUUAUUUGAUUUGGAAGGACAAGUCCUCUACCUACGUACCCUUUUUUGGGAAAGGGAUCAAAACCGACGUAGUUCCACUCAAAAAUUUCUUUGGUGGGUUAGGUUGAUUUUAAGAUUUUUGAAAAUGGGUUUUAAGAAGAGAAAGAGGCCUCACGGCAUGAGAUAAAAGAAAUGAGUGAGGUUGAUUGAUUUUAAAUUUUGAAAAUGAUUGAAGUUGAAUUAAAAUUGAUUGAGAGUUUAAUUAAGAAAAUAAAGGAAAAAUGUUAUUAAGAAAAUGAUUUUGAAGUUUUGCAUAUUUGAUUUUUUGAGAAAAUGAUUUUUCUAAACUAACGGUGAAAACUAACGUAACGUCGUAGAAAAACGAGCGGAAAACGGUAAAUAAAUUGUGGUAGUGUCGGUGCAAGUGUCGGUGCUUGUGUUACCUACAUUAUUACAUCAAUUCUUAAAUACAACCCUAAGGCCUUUAUGCCAAAAUAAAAUGCAAGAAAUAAAACUUACAUCAAUUUCCUAUUUAUACACGCUAAGUCAAUGACAAAAUAAAAUGAUGAGAAAAUUAAAUGUGCAUGCUAUGAUUCAAAACAAAGAUUAAAUCGUUAGUGAGCAUAAGAAAAUAUUGAGAUGAAAUGAGCAAAAAUUAAAAUGAACAUGUGGAAACAAAUAAUAGACAAAAAAUUAAGAGAUGACAUGUAAAACUAGCAAGUAACAAAUAAAAAUAUCAUAUAUAAAGACACAAUAAGCAAGAAUUAAGAAACAAGGAAGGAAUGAGCCAAGAAAAAAAAAAAAGUAAAAUGGAUUUUAAGACUUGGAGGUUAAAAUGAUGGAAAAACAUUUUUUAGAAUUUUGAAGUGUUAAAAUAUCAAGAAAAUGGAGUAAAAGUAUAAAAAAAAUGAAAAGACAAAUAAAAACAAAGUUUGGCUCAGCAGGAUUAAUUCUGGACCGUUGGAUUAAUCCAGAGGUCCAGAUCUAAAUCCCAAGAUCUCAUCACAGCCAUUGGAUCAACGAUCCAAGGGUUAAAAAACAGAAAAACACUUAAAGGAAAGGAGUGCAUCAUCGGCCGUUAGAUCUACGAUCUAACGGCCUAGCAUUGAGCGCACAUGAUGAGGACGUAAGGUGCUAACGCACCAGAUAGAACAUAAUAGGAGCAGCAUAUAAAAGGAAGAAAACAAUGGAAGAAAACAUAACAAACUAAACCACACUUCUCUCUAAAAAAAUUGCUCACACUGCUCUCUAAAAAACAGAGUUGCAGCGCCGCCGCCUACUUCUUCUUCUCCGGCGAGAAAAGUUUUCCGGCGCGGUGGCCGGUGGUGGCACCACCACGCCGGAAUUUCAAACUCCUCUUUUCUAAAAAACUUUUAACAGUUUUGAAAUUCCUUUUUCGUUCUAGACUCAAAUCCGGAUUCACAAUUUCAAAAACAGUUCACAACAGACCUAGAUCUAACAAUGAAGAUUCGACAAAAACUACCUUCGGUUUCAAAACGGAGAAGACUAGAUCUACUACUUCAGGCUCGGAUCUACUUUCUUUUUGCUAAUUCCCUCCGAUCCGGUUCAGGCGCAUUCCUUUUGUGUUGGAGGAGAUUCGGUUUCCUUCUUCUUCUUCAUGUGACUCGGUUCACUACUUCUUUGAAACCGAUCCAGUUUAUAUGCAUGCCUGAGAAUUCCUUAGAAAACAAAUGAAGGUUUGAGUUCAAUGAGUUGUGUAUGUGUUUACGCUUGAGGCUUGGUGAAAGGAUACGAAAAUGAUUGUUAAAAGAAUGGUUCACAUGAUUUUCGAAUUUGAAAUAUUCAUGAAGUUCAUGAUUUUUUUUAUGGUUUUUUUGAGAGUUUGAUCUGAAAAUGUGGAGAGAGGAUAUGAAUUUAGUGUUUGUUACGGAUCUGUGGCAGUUUUGUGAUGUUUGGAUGAUGAUGAUUUAUGUGUUAGUGUGGAGUGAUUCGAGGUUGAUUCUCGAAAUUUUGCUGGAGAAUAUUGUUCAUGUUGUUCUUGACAUGUUCAUCUAUUUUUCAUUGAUUUUUGAUGAUUUGAUCCGAAAAAGUAGAAAGAGAGAAGGGAUUAGGGUUUGUGAACUUUUGUGGCUGCUGAUUGAUGUGUCAGUGUAAUAAUUUCUGUGCAGCCCCCUCUCUCCAAUGAUUGGACAGUGUACUUAUAGUGACAAAAUAGGGUUGGCUCUGGUACACAUCAAAGACCAAAAUACCCCUGUUGGAGACUUGGGGAUAAAGACUUAACAAAUAAAAAUAAUAAGAAACAAAAAACAGAAAAAUAAAAAAUGACAAAUAAAAUAAAAAUAAAAUAUUAAUUAAUAAUAAUAAAAAAAAAAAGUCCCUUCGAAAUCUGACAUGAGGUACUUCAAAGUAUCCUCCCUGCCGAAAUUUUGUCUGAAAUGAUUAAAAGGACGCGAUUUUUAAAAUAUGAUUAAACCUUUUAAAAUGACUUGAUUAUUAUGACUAACAAGACUAUAAAAUGCGCUCAAAAAGUUAUAAAAAUGCAGAUAAAAGUUUUUAAAUGAUUAAAGAAGAAAAACACGAGUUUUAAAUGGUAAAAAAAACAAAUAGAAGAGAAUGUGGACUAUUUUAAAAUAUGGACAAAAAAGAUUUUAAAUGGUCCAAAUUUGGGGUAUGACACUAUACAAAAGAGAAAAUUAUAUACAAAUUAUAUACAAAUACUCAAAACAAUACAAAUUGUCACAAUGCUUCAAAUAUCGAAACGCCAGUCCCCUGCAGCGGCGCCAUUUUGAUGUAGUAUCAAAAGUAAGUAUUUUUGUUAUCAUCUCCACAGGAAUUGGUGCGAUAUUCUAAGCCGUUCAACAAUCGGUAUCGUUCUAAGCUACAGAUUCGACAUUGUUUUGUUUCAUGAACCAUAAAACUACAGACUUGUAAGAGAUAUGAGAGUUAACAGGGAAAUGAUUAUGUUGGGAUUAAACUUCAUCAACCUAGAUAUACGUAUUCUAGGAUUAGUGUUGCGGAUUCUAAUUAUCAAUUGAUAUUAUCAAAUAUUGCUCAACAACAUCAUUCGUGUCCAAAUGAUGUCGUGAUUUCUAUUGAGUCGUCUAAUCGUCGAUUUCCCAAACUAUUAAACUUUCCAAUAGUCGAUUGUAUCGUUGUAUAGUUGAUUUUUCAAAUUAUACAAUGAUACGAAAGCUUUAAGUUCCAAUAUUCAAAGUGAUUAUCAAACCUAAGUUCCAUGUCUAGAACCUAAGCAUUGAUAGAAGAUUAUUCUCAACUAGAUUCAAAAUGUAUUUUCAAUAACAAUUUAAAUCCAUAGGAUAGAAAUGAAAAGCAAGAAUAACAUCAAUAUCUUAAGAUAAUUUAGAAUCACAAAACAUCCAAAUCAAAGGGAAUACAUACUAAUAGAGUUAACUACAUUUAAUCCCAACAAAAAGAGUUUAGCUACUCAUUGUCAUGGUAACCUUACAAGGAGAAAAGAAGAGAUGGAAUGGAAGCAAGCCAUUAUGUCUCAAUGAUCUUGUGAAUCCUUUCAAUCCUUGUGCCCUUUGCUCAUUGAAGUUCUCUCUGUGUUUCCCCUGUUUUCUCUCUUCCUAAAGUGGCUUAUGUUCUGAUUAUUCUGUCUGAAAUGAAGGAAAUGAGCUUUUAUACAUAUGCUGAAAAAGUGACAUUUCGCCUGGCGAAGUUUGGCUCGCCAUGGCGACUUGAGCUUACAUUGCUAGUGGGUUUCUGCCACAUCACUUUGAUGAGAUAAAACCGCUUUUUUUUCGUCUGGCAGAAUUUCUGCUCUAUAUAGCGAAGUACUUUUGUCCUGUUUUUCCAACUCUAUGGAACUGCUCGCCAUUUGGCUCGCCCUUGUCUCGCCUGGCAAAAUAUUUCGCCUGGCAGGAUUGCUACUUGCCAUGGCGAAGUAGCUUUUGCCGCUUUUGUUCUUUUUGGUCCUUGCUUGAUGUUUUGGCACUCAAUUCCGGCACAAAUGGGUAGAGUAAGAUGAAUAAAGCAUAACAGGUCAAUAAUCACUUUUCUCUCGACUUUUCCCUGAAUAACUUGUGAAACAAGUAACAAACGUGCCGUAAAUAAUCAUUUGAAAUACUAUUUUCUGGUACUUAUCAAUUACAAUUGCUCAAGCACACAAGCAAGAGACUUUAAAUGCUCGAUCGUACAAGAAAGAGACUUCCAAUGCUCAAACACACUAGUAAGAGACUUCUACAAUCGAACUUAAUCAAAUAAAAGAUUUUAUGUGAUUUACACUUGAUGUACAAUCAGAGGUGUAAGCAAUACAUAACAUAAUGAACUCUUAAAACUUAAGAAUUUCUAUGAUAUAAAGUUUCUAAGAAAUUCUAAGUACAAAUGCGCUUUUGAUUUUGACAGAGUAAGGACAAUUUCAAAAUAUGCAAAGUCUUGUUAAUUUCUUCAAGUCUUCAGCUCCUUAUACAGAGGGAAAUCCAAGAGAUGUUGGAGAGGUGCCAAUGCAUUACUUUGAGUCCUUGAGAAACUUGAUCAUAGAUGUUGGAAUUUUUCUUGAUUUGGAUAAUGUCGUUUAAAAUUUUUUGAAAAUCCUUGGCAACAAACAGAAUCAUCUAUUUCACUCCAAUUGUCCUUGAAGUUCUUUGUCUAUUUCUGCACGUGAUCAAAAGAGGACAAAAUAUACUAUCUGAGUCUGAUAGUGAUCUCUUCAGGUUCUCUUCAAAUUUCAAAUGCUCUUAUAUAAGUUCUUUUAGUACCAAACUCUAUUUAAUACAUAGAAUUUCAAUUUAUGGUCUUGCACACUUGAACAUAUAUUAGCAUAUCUAGUUCUUCUUUUAAUACCUUGUUAUCAUCAAAACUUCGAAAACAUUGUGCAAAACCCAUUUUGCUUUAACAAAGAUGGUGGAGCGCAUCAGCACUAUAGUAGUAAUGAGGUGGUAGAAAGCUAUUAUCCCUACUUGUACAUCAUUCUGAGAUGUUAUGCAUGCGCUACACCACGUAGCCUAACGAGGUGGUCACAUUGAUAGACUUUGACUUGAACCAUUUAUUAAGCCUUUGAUUCAUGUUCUUAACGAGCUUUAAUAUUGGGUGAUCCAAAUGAUAAUUGGACCGGGUCUUUUAACCUUGUACCGUUAUAAUAUAAUGAAUAUACAAGUUACAAGCACUUAUAUAAGUGACUUUAUAAAUAGACUAUUACUUUUUUCACCCUAUCGAUUUCCCGUGCCCCUUUUUUUUACGAAAAAUGUCCAUGAGAUUUUCAGAUUCUAUAAUCCGAAAUGAGUUUUCCCCUUAUUUUAGGGUGGAAAAAUGAGUUUUUCACCAAUUCGGAUUUUGUAAUCCAAACACCCUAAAAAAUAUGGCACGUUCCUUGCUUUUUUAGCACUAUAGAAUUCCAACACCCCUUUUGUACCAAGAAUUCAAGGGAAAAGUAGUUUGGAUUAAUCCAAACCGUAUCAACACAAAUACUCAACCUGUUUGACAUGUUGUAUCAUUUUUUACUCUGUUUUUUUGGUUGAGUUUAAAAUCGAAAUUCACAACCAUUGAAAUGAGAGAGAUUUUGAUUGUUGCUUAUUUAUAUAAGCAUAUAUAUUUCGAAUUCUAUAAUCCAAACACAUGAGUAUACAAUCUAAAACCCCAUGAGUAUUUUUAUAAAAAAUAAAUCAAUAGGACAUCUGAGAAUGUAAUUAAUAGGUUGUAUAUAAAUGAGUUGGAUACGUUCGACUCGAUUGUUACAAAAUUGGGCAUGACCCAAAAAUUAGUGGGUCAACCCAACCCAUAUUUCAAUACUAUCAUUUAAAAAAUGUUUGAAAAUUGCUUUUCUCCCUUCAAGAAUGUCCUAAUAAUACAUGGGAAAUUCUAAAAUGCCACCAGCGGUAGUUAACUGAUGUUACGUUUUACCCCAAAAACCAGUACAUGCCUACUUCCCUAUUCACUCAUCACCUUACCUAAAAAAAUCCCCCAUUAAUUUUUUUUUGUUGAAACAUUGAUUCCAAAUCUUUGUUGACGGAUUGCUAGCUCGUUUCUACAGACAUUUGACAUCAAAAAUAGGUAUUGCAACGUUAAACUCGUUUCCAUUUGAUUGAGUUUCCAGUUUUUUUUUCCUGACAUGCAGCUUAGCGGUAGUUAACUACCGCUCAGGUUGAAGAACCAGCUGCAGUUAACUAACGCCUAGGACUUAGAAAAAAAAUUCAAAAAAAAGUGCUACUCCCUAUUUUAUUUUUUAUUUUUUUGGUUUGUUUAUGUUCUUAAAUUAUGUAAGAUACAUGUUAAUUAAUUAUUUUAGCAAUUAUAUGUUGUUUAUUUAUAGAUAUGGUUGAGAAUGCGGGUGAUCGAAAACCUAGUGUUGUCGAGAUCAAACCGCCGAAACAUGAAGUUUCCGUUAAGGUUGCAGUUUCCGUUAAAGUGGAGGCUACAAGUGUCAAUGCCGGUGUGUGGAAACUUCGUGACAACGAAGUGGACACGACUCAUUUCUUUUCGAGCCGAGAGACAUGGAAAGAUAAAGAUGAAUUGAUCGGUUGGGUACGUCGACAAGCAAAUAAAGCUGGAUUUACGAUUACCAUUAAAAGAUCUUGUGCAGUUAGCAAUCAUAUAUUGGAGUUGGUUUGUGAAAGUAGUGGCGAGCAGAAAGUAUCGAAGAAAAAAGUGAAGCAUGAAGCAACGAGAUCAAGAAAAUAUGAGUGUUUGUUCAAGGUGCGUGGAUAUGUCGUCAGGGAAGACAAUGCUUGGAAAUUGGCUAUUCUUUAUGGUGUUCACAACCACGAGAUGGUGCCGUUUUUAGCAGGGCACCUUCUUGCGGGAAGAUUAAUGGAGGACGACAAGAAAAUUAUACAUGACUUGACCAAUAGUUCGGUGAAACCAAAAAAUAUUUUGACAAAUUUGAAGAAGAAAAGACAAGAGUCUAUGACAAAUAUCAAGUAAGUCUACAAUGAACGUCAUAAAUUCAAAAAGGCAAAAAGGGGUGACUUAACGGAGAUGCAAUUUCUAAUCUCAAAGACUGUUUUGAUAAUGGAUUCCACGUAUAAAACCAACUUGUACAAGAUGCCACUGUUUUUAAUAGUCGGAGUCACCUCAACCUAUUUGACAUAUUAGGUUGGUUUUGCAUUUAUAACGUUGGAGAAGGAGAAUAACUUUAAUUGGGUUUUACAAAUGUUGCUUAAACUUCUUAAACCAAAUAGUGAUAUGCCUAAGGUGGUAGUGACUGAUUGGGACACGACUUUGGUGAAUGUCUAGCAAAUGUUCUUCCGAAUAGUAAUGCAAUACUUUGUUAUUUCCAUGUCGGGAAAUAUGUUAGAGCAAAAAUCAUCACCGAUUGUAAGUGAGACAAAAGGUUGUCAAAGAGGAUGGGCAAAAGAAGCUUGUCGGCGAGGUGAAGCAUAUUGAGAUAGUUGGAAUUGCAAGAGUUAUAUGCAAGUAAUCUAAUGGAAUUGCAAGAUGCUUGUAAGAAUUAUCCAAAGUUUCUUCCUUAUGUUCAAACUACCAUUUUGGAUACUGUGAAGGACAAAAUAGUGAGAGCAUGGACAGACUUUCUGUUACAUCUUGGGUGCAGGACCACAAAUAGAGUUGAAAGAGCACAUGGUAGAGUGAAGGAAUAUGUGUCCACUUCCAAGGGUGAUUUGGGUACUUGUUGGGAAAAAAUAGAUGAGAUGUUGGUAAUCCAGCUUGGGAAGAUACAAUCAUCGUUUGGUAGGAGCAUUACGGUCUUGGAACAUAGAUACAAAGAUGUCAAUUUCUACUCUGGGUUGGGGGGUAACAUGUCUAGAUAAGCCAUGAACUAUAUUUUUGUGGAAGAAGAGCGUGCUAGCAAAACCUUGUGCAUGAACAAGAAAACUUGUUGUUGUGGUUAAAGGACGUCGUAUGGCCUACCUUAUGCAUGCUUCAUUGCUAUAAAAAUCCGUCACAAAAAGCCUAUUCGAUUGGAUGAGAUACACCCGCAUUGACAUAAGUUAUAUAUGGGUGAAGAAAAAAGUAAUGAAAAAUUGUUUUCGAUCGCGGAGGAGUAGAGUGGUAUUCAAGAACAUCUCAAAAGAGUUCCGUACCAAAUGAAACUAAAAAUCAAAGAGGGGUUGCCAACGUUUCCAGAGACCACAAUGUUGUCACCACCUACAAAAAAGAUACCAACCAAAAGAGCAAAGAAGAAAAAUAAAAUCUACACUGAAAUCGACACGGAAAAAAUCUCCAAUCAACAUGUCCGGGAAACUAAGGUUAGAAUUAAACCUUUAUACUCAGUUGACCAAUUAAAUCGACGUCAAGCGACUAGUAUAAUUUCAAUUUUAGAGAAAUUAAGUGGAAAUAAUACAACGUGAUUUGAUUAUAAUUGUUAAUGUGACUAAUAUUUUUCAAAUAGAGGGAGUUGCGUACAACGCGAGGAAUGGUAAUUUAUUUUAUAAAUGGUUAGUAUAUGUCGCAAUCAACAAAGUCAAAGACUACUCUGAAAAAAAAAAGUCAAAGACAAUUUCCUCAAAAAAAAAAACAACAAAGUCAAAGACAAUUAAAAUUUGAAAGAUUAUAUGGAAUCUGAAAAUCCAAACUAAUUAGAUGUAGACAUGACAAAGCGACCCGCUCCGUUUAGACCAGCCAAAACGAGACAUGACAAAGUGAGCAGCACGAAAUGGACGAGUCAAUUUAAGUGACUAAGUCAAAAGUUUCACCCACCCCGCAUUGGGCGGAUUGACGAGAUGGUAGGCCGGUCUAUCAAACAAAAAAAGAAUUUACUUUUAUUUCAUUUUUGGGUUAACAACGUUUUACCUUUGUAAUAUAGGUCAUUUUCAGUUUCCCUCCGUAAGCAAAAAUUUUAUAUUUCAUCCUUAUAAUUUGAAGAUUAUUUGGUUUUAGAUCCUCAAGACAGUUGACUAAACAUUUAGGCUUAUGUUACGCAUUGAGUCAACAUUUUUUGAUUAUGCGACACGUUGACUAUGUAAUUAUUAAUUUUUUAAAAUUUAUUUUAAAUCAAAAAUAAAAAUAAAUUUAAAAAACAAGAAAAUUUAUUUUCGAAAAUAAUAAAAUUAGAUAAAAAAAUUCUAUAACUUAAUUUUCAAAAUAAAAAAAAUUAGAAAAUAUAUUUCAAAAAUUAGAAAAACAAAUUCGAAAUUAAAAAAAAAAAGUUCAAUUUUUUUUUUCCGAAAUAAAAAAGUUUUUCUAACUUAUCAUCAUAUUUUUCAUGAAAAUAUAUCUUCAAGGUUUUUUAUAUUUUUAACAAUUUGAUUAUUGUAAAAAAUAGGCUAUGUUAUUUAUAAAAAUAAAAUUGGUAGCAAAUCAAUUCGUGGUAAAACAAAAUUUUAUGAUGUAAAAUUGGAUUAUAACAAGUUAUUUGGUCGCUUCACUUUAAAUUAUGUCUAACCCAUUGAUAAAAUAAAAAUAAAAAUUGUAAGUUGAUGAGUUGACGGACUGGCCCGUCCCAUCCUUGCCCCGCCCUACUUUUUCAACAGUCAAGCAGGACGAGCCAACUAGAAGCGGCGAAUUCAAAACUCCAACACAACCCGCCAAAAAUAGUAGGCUAAAUGGGCCGGUUUGGCAGGUUGGACCCGUUUUGCCUUCCGUGUGGCAAUUGCUUUAUUUCCAGUCCAUUCAAAAUCGGGAUGCUUAGUGAGUUAGCAGACUCAAAACGACAAUGAUCGAUGAGUCAGACUCAGAACAAUGAUGAUCUAUGAGUUAGACUGAGAACAAUUUUCUUUUUCUAAUUUUUUUCCAUUAGGUCAUGUAUUUUUUAUUUAAGGCUAAAAUAUGGUUUUAGUCCCUGCAAAUAUGCCUCGUUUUGGUUUUAGUCCCUGUAAAAAAAAAUUGUUUUUGGUCCCUGCAAAGUUUUUGUUUUUUAAAAUAGUCCCUCAGGUACUAUUUUAAAAAACAAAAAAAUUUGCAGGGACCUUUUUAAAAAAUAAAAUAUUUUGCUGGGACCAAAAACUACAAAAUCGGUUCAGUCAUCAUGUGCCACGUAUGCAAAUCAUCACAAAAAUGGGGUCAGGGACUAUUUUAAAAAACAAAAAAUUUUGCAGGGACCAAAAACAAUUGUUUUUUUACAGGGACUAAAACCAAAACGAGACAUAUUUGCAGGGAGUAAAACCAUAUUUUAGCCUUAAAUAAAUACACAAUAUUUUAGGUCCCAAUGUUUCUUAGUUUUGAGGCCCAUCCUCAAUACUUUCCCUUCUCCCUCCAAUUCAACCAAACUCUCGUCCACCUAUUAGGUCAUGUAUUUUUAAAUUGAAACACAAUAUUUUAACAGUAAGCUAUGACAUAAUCAAUGUGUUGCUAUUAGACUCUGAAUCAGUUUGUCAUCUUUUGAAGGAAUGUCACUAUCAGAUUCAAGGUAGUAGAGUUUGUCUUCUUCUGACCACGUGCAGGAAAAAAAGGAAUUUAAGGACAACGAAAAUGUAACGGAUCAUAUUAUUAAGAGCAAAGAAAUUUCGAAUGACUACAAAACGACAUUAACCAUUCGAGGCAACAAAACUCAAGGUGAAAAAAUCUUACAAACUCUUAGAUAUAAUCUUACAAACUUUCAGAUCUAGAAUUUCUUAAGCUUCAGAAGUCAUCUGAACCUUAAUUGCUUACACCUUUGAUUGUACGUGAUGUGUGAAGGUGAAAAAAACACAAGGCGGGAUUGAAUUGGUUGGGUUUUUUCUGAUUUAGAGAGAGAGAGAGAGAGAGAGAGAGAGAGAGAGAGGGGGGGAGGGAGGGAGGUCACAAAGCAUUUAUACUGGUUCCUCCUACAAUCUAAGAGUAGUCCAGUUCCCCUACACUUUCAAGGGACUUCCAAAUGUUCAAGCACACAAGCAAGUGACUUCCAAAUGCUCAGUCACAACUGAAAGAGACUUCUAAGAGUUUACAAAUAAACAAAGUUGUUCUCACACUUGAUAUACAAUCAGAGGUGUAAACAAUUAAAUACAUAUAAGACUUUAUGAAAUUAUAAUUUCUAACAUAUGAACUUAGUAAGAAAUUCUUAAGUGUUCUAUGUGCUUUUGAAUUUAACAGAGUAAGGGCACAAUUUAAAAUAGCAGAGUCAUGUUAUUAUUCUUCAAGUCUUCAACUCCUUAUAUAGGCAAGGAUUUGAGAGACGAUGCCAGCGCAUUGAGAGUCGUUGAGAAGUUUCAAAUCAAGGACGUUAGGUCUUUGCCUGAUAAGGAUAAUGUCGUGGAUUAUUCAUUUGAAAUUCCUUUUGCUGCAACUAGAAUUAUCUGUUCGUUCUCUUUGUACUUGAAGUUCUUUGUUUUUUUACACGUGGUCAGAGGAAGACAAACUGUACUUUCAGAGUCUUGAUAAAGACUGCUACAUAAGAGGACAAAUUUGACGAGGAUUCUAGGUCCCUAAGGGUCUUCUAUUCUUCAGAGUUUGGAGGUUUUCAGAGUCUGAUGUAGAUCUUUAACUUCUGAGUGUUUUCCUUUCUAUUGAUCCAAGGUGUUGACUUCUGGUUGACAUUUCUUUAGAUCUUCUACCAUAGUCUUUUGGCUUCUCUUUGUGCUUCUGAUGCUCUUAUACAUGUUCAGACCUUGUUAAAUUUUAAUAUAUGGUCCUGCACACUUGAACAUAUAUUAACAUAUCCAGUUGUUUUUCAAUACUUUGUUAUCAUCAAUACUUCAAAGGAUUUGUGUUUGAUUUUAAUAUGUUGCUUAAUUAUAUGUUUCAGACUCUGAAAAUGACUAUGUUCUGUUUUUACAAACACUUAAAAAUAGAUUUGAAAAAAGCAAUAUAAUUCAACCCCUUUUCUUAUGUUUUUCUCACUUUUAAAUUUAGAGUUUUUCUAUUUACACCCCAUGUUUUUCUGGUUACACCUAAAUUUUCUUAAUUUUUUUUAUAAUACCAAAAUUGCCCUUUAUAUAAAUUUUCUUAAAACCCUAAUUUUAUUCAUUGUCAGUGAGUUUCACCCUCUUUUACCCCACAAAGCGAUUGAUCAAACAAUUUGAUGUUCAAUAUCAAUCUCCAUGAAAAUUAAAGAGUGAAUCAAAAUAUUUUUCAUCCAUACUCAAUUGGAUAUAAGUAAGUGAAUUUCUUCUUCUAUUUGCUAGUUUCAAUUCUUUUCCUUCAACUGCAAUGAUGCACUGUACGAUUACGGUUUUAAUUUACAUUGGCAAGGUUAACUUAAAUUCAGUUUAAGUAGGUUCAUGUAAACUAAGUUUACAUGAACCUACUUAAACUGAGUUUACAUAAACCUACUUAAAUUGAGUUAACAUGAACUUACUUAAACUGAGUUUACAUGAACCUACUUAAACUGAGUUUACAUGAACCUACUUAAACUGAGUUUAGAAAAUCGCAGAACUCGCAGAACAAGGAAAACACAAAAUCAGAACUGAGAACCCAUAACAAGAAAAACACAAUCGAUUGAAGAACAACACUUGCUAACCUGAUUUGCUUCGAAUUUUCUUUGAAAUCAUGAAUGGACGUGAGAAAGUAUGGUUUUGAAAAUCUUCGCAGAACACAAUGAAUCGAUUGGAGAAUUAUGGUUUUGGAAGAAAGGUUUUGGGGUGUAACCAAAAAAGAAGGAAUAGGCUUUUUGAAAAUCAAAUUUUAUGAAAGGGUAAUCUUGUCAUUUUAGGGUGCAACCAUGAUUAACUAGGGUGCAAGUAGAAAAACUCUUAAAUUUAUCCUUUGGAUAAAUAAAACGUUAAUUUAUUCUAGUUUUUCAAUGUGAACAUCAAUUACUUAAAGAAUGAACAUUAAUUGUUUUAUUUUUGGUCAAGAAAAAGAACUUUAAUUUAUUCUUGCAUUUCAAUGUGAACAUCAAUUACUUAACAAUAGAUUAUAUGUCCAAUUGACCAAUUAAAUCGCCAUCACGUUAUAUUUUCAGAGAAAUUAAGUUGGAAAGAUACGACAUGAUUUGAUCAUAAUUGUUAAUGUCACUGACUUCUAGAACUGUUAAUGUCACUAAUAUUUUUAAAACUGAGGGAGUUGCGUACAAAAGCGUGAGAGGGUAAUUCUUUAUGAUUCAUUUCCAGUCCAUUCAAAAUAGGAUUCUAAACACAAGCUUAGAAUUUGACUCAUCUGAUUUUUCACUUUUCAAUACAAAGCACUAAACUACAGCUUUUCAUCCUUUUUCUAGAUUCAGAUUUCGAAACCAGGUAAUCUCUCGUUCUCUUGUAUUCUUAUGAUAAUUAGAAGAUUCAACUUGCAACCUGUAUUUACUAUUUAGAAUCAAAAUUUUGCUUGCUCAUUUCCAACACACAUACUGCAAUCAAAAUUUCUUUAUGCAAUUCUAAAUUAGGUUACUUAAAUAGUUUUUAUUCUUGUUCGAAUCUGCAAAAUAGUACAAAUCCUGUUCUUUUUAUGUGUCGGUUUAAAAAACUUUUUUAUCCCCUAAGUUAAUAUUCCAUCCAGUCUUAAAUGUUAGGAAAAAAAAAAAAACCACACAUAUUAAGAAAGUGGACUAACAAUAUUGAAGUCAUCAUAAAACAUUAUAACUUUCCAAUUUUGCCUUUAUCUUCGGAUUUUAUAUUUAAGUCAUGAACGUGACUUUUGAACUCAACAUGGGAAUGUGAAACAGAUUGGAAAUAAAUAAAUGAGGGUAAAAUUGAAAUAGUGACAUUUAAUAGGAUGAUUUAAUUAAACUUUUCAUUACAUUUGAGUCCACCAAUUUUUUUAUUUUGUUUCUUACAUUCGAGAUCGGAGGGAGUAGUUGUGUCCGGUUCGGUCUGAUAUUUGGAUCGGUUGUGCAGUUGAAUCGGUCAGAUCCGGCGUGACUCGCUAAAACUCGGAAUAAAUUGGUGGCUUGGCCGGUUUAGCGAACCGGACCAGGUCAAUACACAACUUGAUUUCAAUUGAUAAAAAAAACCAGAAAGUGAGAAAAGUGAGAAAGAUUAUCGUACAGAAGAGAAGAUCUCACGAUGGAAGGGAGGAAGAUGUGAGAAGGAAAGAACAAGGAUUGAAGAUCAAAUAUGCUAUGUGUUUUUUUAUUUGAGAUCUACUUUUUAGAUGAAUGCUGCAGUACAAGUCACUAAAGUGUAGUACAAUACAUAUCUGUAGUACAAUAGACUUGUGUAUAUAUUACUAAUUAUACUCUCAUUCACAAAUCAAUAGAAAAUCCAUUCAUUUCUCUUAUUUCAUAUUAGGUUUCAAUUUGCUAACUGCAUUGACUGAGUGAUUUUUAUUCCAUUAAUUAAAAAUAGGAGACCAUUUAAAAAAUUGAUCACUUACGUGACCCCAAGAUUAGUUUUACUCAUGCUUUUGUUAACUUCAUUUGCCAAAGGAUGGAAGCCCUUGCUGUUACAAUCUUGGAAAAGUUGAGCUCUGCAGCUUACAAAGAGCUCGGAAUCAUUUGGAAUUUCAAAGAGGAUAUGGAACGAAUGAAGAACACAGUCUCCAUGAUAAAAGCCGUGCUUCUCGAUGCAGAGUCCAAGGCCAAUAAUCAUCAAGUUAGUAAUUGGUUGGAGAAGCUGAAAGAUGUACUUUAUGAUGCAGAUGAUUUACUAGAUGAUUUUUCCAUUGAAGCUUUGAGAAGAAAAGUAAUGGCUGGAAACAACAGAGUAAGACGUACAAAAGCUUUCUUCUCAAAAUCAAACAAAAUUGCCCAUGGCCUUAAAUUGGGCCGUCGAAUGAAAGCAAUCCAAAAGAGGCUAGAUGACAUUGCUAACAAUAAGCAUGCACUGCAACUGAAUGACCGCCCUAUGGAGAAUCCAAUUGUAUAUAGGGAACAGAGACAAACUUACUCUUUCGUAAGUACAGAUGAAGUUAUUGGAAGAAAUGAGGAAAAGAAAUGUAUUAAAAGUUAUCUACUAGAUGACAAUGCAACAAAUAAUGUUUCUAUAGUUCCCAUAGUUGGCAUUGGAGGAUUAGGUAAGACUGCACUUGCUCAACUAGUCUACAAUGAUAAUGAUGUUCAAAAGCAUUUUGAGCUAAAAAUGUGGGUGUAUGUCUCGGAUGAAUUUGAUUUGAAGAAAAUAUCUCGGGAUAUCAUUGGGGAUGAAAAGAAUAGUCAAAUGGAGCAAGUACAACAACAACUUAGAAACAAAAUUGAAGGGAAAAAGUUUUUGCUUGUGUUAGAUGACGUGUGGAAUGAGGAUCAUGAGUUGUGGCUUAAAUUGAAGAGCAUGUUCAUGGAAGGUGGAAAAGGAAGUAUGAUAAUUGUUACAACGCGUAGUCAGACUGUGGCAAAAAUAACAGGCACACAUCCACCCCUUUUCCUAAAAGGUUUGGAUUCACAAAAAUUCCAGGAGCUAUUCUCUCGAGUGGCUUUCGGCGAGUUGAAAGAACAAAAUGAUUUGGAGUUGUUAGCUAUAGGAAUGGACAUUGUUAAGAAAUGUGCUGGCAUUCCCCUUGCCAUAAGAACUAUUGGCAGCCUUUUGUUUUCUCGAAAUUUGGGCCGGAGUGACUGGCUUUAUUUCAAGGAUGCCGAGUUUUCAAAGAUAGAUCAACACAAGGAUAAAAUCUUUGCAAUCCUUAAACUGAGUUAUGAUCAUCUUCCAUCGUUUCUAAAAAAGUGCUUUGCCUAUUGUUCACUGUUUCCAAAAGGUUUUAUGUUUGAAAAGAAGACACUCAUUCAGUUAUGGGUAGCUGAGGGGUUCGUUCAACAAUCAAAUGAUAUUAGAUGUGUAGAAGAUAUUGGUCAUGAGUACUUCAUGAGUUUGCUGUCAAUGUCUUUCUUUCAAGAUGUUACUAUAGACGAUUGUGAUGGAAUAAGCACCUGUAAAAUGCAUGACAUUAUGUAUGAUCUAGCGCAACUAGUGACCGAGAAUGAAUAUGUCGUGGUUGAAGGAGAAGAACUAAACAUAGGAAACAGAACACGUUAUUUGUCAUCUCGUAGGGGUAUACAACUAUCACUAACAUCAUCAUCUUCCUACAAGUUAAGGACAUUUCAUGUGGUCGGUCCACAAUCAAAUGCAAGCAAUCGUUUGCUUCAGUCAGAUGAUUUUUCCUUCUCAGGCUUAAAGUUCUUGCGUGUGUUGACACUUUGUGGGUUGAAUAUUGAAGAAAUCCCAAAUAGUAUUGAAGAAAUGAAGCAUUUAAGAUAUAUUGAUCUAUCACGGAACAAUGUACUUAAAAAUCUUCCUCCGACCAUUACUAGCCUACUGAACUUGCAAACUCUAAAACUUUCUGAUUGUUCUAAGCUUGAAAUAUUGCCAGAAAAUCUCAAUAGAAGUCUCAGGCAUCUUGAGUUAAAUGGUUGCGAGAGUUUGACAUGUAUGCCACGUGGGCUAGGACAGUUGACUGAUCUUCAAACACUAACACUUUUUGUACUGAACUCUGGAAGUACAAGUGUAAAUGAGUUGGGUGAGCUAAACAACCUGAGAGGGAGAUUAGAAUUAAAAGGGUUGAAGUUCCUGCGAAAUAAUGCUGCAGAGAUUGAAUCUGCAAAAGUACUUGUUGAGAAGCGACACCUUCAACAAUUGGAAUUGCGAUGGAAUCAUGUCGACGAGGAUCCUUUUGAGGAUGAUCCUUUUGGAGUUUGGUAUGUUAAACUAUCGCAAUUACCAUACAACAAUUCUGUGGAAGAUGAGAUCAUUUUACAAGGCCUGCAGCCACACCACCAUUCACUUCGAAAACUAGUUAUAGAUGGGUUUUGCGGCAAAAAGUUACCAGACUGGAUAUGUAAUCUCUCAUCGCUCUUGACUCUUGAGUUCCACAAUUGCAGUAGUUUGACAUCACCGCCUCCUGAACAAAUGUGUAACCUUGUAUCUUUGCGGACACUUCGCAUUUCAAAUUGCCCAUUAUUAAAAUUGAGUAAUAUAUCUGGCAUCCGAGCAAUCAAGAUCAUCAGGGACGGAACCAGGUAUUGUUGUUUGCACCUGCACACCAUGGGUUUUUGCUGUUUGCACCUGCACACCAUGGGUUUUUGCUAUUUGCACAAAUAAUAUUACUUUUAUGUUAUUUGCACAUGAUUUUUGUUUUGCACCUCCUCACCAAAGAGGCCAAGACUAAAUCACACUCACGCUCUCAUAUUGACUGGUGACAUUUGGCUUUUAAAGUUCAAUCCUAUUAAUUUUCUCAUAAAAGGACUUUUAGUGCCAUAACAAAUCAUAUGCAUUUGUUAUUCACUUUGGAAAACAAAUAUUAAUCUAUCCGUCAUAAAAUAACUGAGUUAUUUAUAAAAAAAAAAUUGUCCUAAAGACACUUAAAUUAAUAUUAAUUUUAUCACUUUUUAUUCAAUAUAUUAUACUAAAAAAAGAUAUGACAUACAUCCACUGAUGUUUUCUACGUCAAUUGAUGAAUAUGACAACACAUUUGUUUUCAACCAUAAAAAAUGAUGUGACAACAUAUCAUUAAAUGCAUGUAUAAAAUCACGUUACAUAUAUGCAUGUAUUUAUGUAUGUAUAAAUUUAAUAUUAAUAAUAAUACUAAUUAUAAAGUUAAAAUUUUGCAACCGUAAUGCAGGGUUCGGGAUACGCCAAUGAAAUUCAUUCCUGGGAGUCCAUCAUUACUCAAGUAUUUUUCUUGAGUCAAAAUCUUUCAUCAAUCAUGGAGGUAUUUCUGAAUCCACUCUCUUAUAUCCAUCAAUUUUUUAUGACAUUUUUUAUGGUACAUUUUGCUAUUAUUGAGUUAACUUUCUCUUGACCUUUAUGCCUAACUUUUGUUUUGAUAUUCAAUUUUUCAUCACUUGGAUCAUUUUGGUUUUGAUAUUUGGCUAGACGAUACAUACAUCUGUUUAGAUAAAUGGAUUCCUUGAUUUUAUUUAGGCUUUUAUGUGUUUAGUUCUUGUAAAUAGGAGUUAUUUAAAAAAUGGUCAUUGUAUUAUUUGAUAAUGACUUAAAAAUGCCCCUGUAAUUAGUGUAAUAGAAGUGACUUAAAAACGUUUAUUUACAGGGAGCUUCUACGGUACACCUCACAAAUUGAGGUGUACCGAUACUCUGUUUCAUAAAUUUAUAAAUUAAUGAUCAUUUUAUGAGAUAAGUUGUUAUUUGUCAUUAUUUAUAUUUUAGAAAACACCAUCUCAGGAGAAAAAAAACAUCAUUUCAUUGUUUAUAUGAAUUAUAUUAAAUUUUUAACAUUUUCUCAUAAAAAAUAAUCAAUAUUCUUCAUUAUGAGCAAUAAAAAUUCAAAAAAAGUAAAUUUUAUUUCAUCGACGCUUUUGGUAAAUAAGAUUUAAUUAUUAUAAUUGUCAAUGAUAGAAAAUAAUUAUUUUUUCUUCAAAAAACAAUCAAUUUAAUUAUUAAUUUAAUGUUUGGUGUACCGGUACACUCAAAAUGUUGGGUGUACCAUAGAAUUUGCCUUAUUUACAAGGUAAUAUUCUUGGUGGCCAUUUAAUGACUGCCACGUCACUGUAACUACAAACGUGAAAUUACAAAAAUGCCCUUGUAAUUAGUGAUCUGGCGGUGAUUAAGUGGGGGAGAGGGACGAAAUUUUAAGUGAUUAAAUUUUGUGUAUCUUAUUAUUAUAAGCAAUAUUCUUUAUUAUUAUAAUUAAGCAAUAUUUAGUGACCCCUUGUAAAUAACGUUACUUCGGUGACAUAGAAAAUGUGUAUCUUAUUAUUCUAAGCAAUAUUCUUUAGGUUAAACUUCACUUUUCGCCCUAUAAGUUUUAAAAUGUUGCGAUUUUGGCCCCCUAUUAAAAAAAGUAGCAAAAGUGACCCCAUAUGUUUAGGGAAAUAUGCUCUUUUGACCUCUUAACAUAAGGGAAAUAUGCUUUUUGACCCCUUAUCUUUACAAAAAGUUGCGAUUAUUGCCCCUUUUUUGGGACACGUGGCGUCUUCUCAGCAAUUUUAGGAUGAAAGGGGCCAAAAUUGCCAUUUUUUUUAAUAGGGGGCCAAAAUCACUAUUUUAAAACAUAGAGGGCGAAAAGUGCACUUUAGCCUAUUCUUUAUUAUUGCUUUCUCUUUUUUGAUGAUUAAAUGGUGGCCAAUAACUACUGCAGGAACAAGGCAGUUGCUAAACUGUUCCAAGGAGCAAAAUGGUGGUCAAUAAAUUGGUAACUCUUUCACAUCAUCCAUGACUUUGGUAAUCUCACCAAACGUACUUUGGGUAACACUAUCCAUGACUUCACUGUUUUCUGAAAAUGUGUCAAUUGUUCCUUGGAAGAUCAUCAAUCAUUGGAUGAACUCUAUCUCUCUCACUAAGAUUAUGCAUUCUAGAGUACCUCAUAUUAGGUGCAUGGGAUUUGUUAACUUCUUGUAUCAGUGAAGACCUCUUCUGUAAUAGGAAUAUUAUUCCUAGUUAUAGGUUUUGUUGGCUUUUUCCGGAGUUUGAUUUGGUGCCCUUUGGUUCUUUAUGUAUUUUUUUUUUUUGUGAUUAAUACGAUAUUGUAGUUGUUGCAAGAGAUUUGUUUUUCCUUUGGUGUCAACAUAUAGUUGGGAUCAUUGGUUUGGAAAAUGAUGCAUUUACAUUCCUUCAUUUUUGUAAACAUAAAUCUUGGUGGGCUAUGUAAAUUUGAAAUAACUAAACCAACGAAACAAACAAUCAUUAACAUGUUGUGAACGGAUUACCAUCAUUGGAUUCAGAUUUCACAGCAUUCAUUUCUUACCAGGAACAAUUAAUAUCUGAAGAAGACACAUUGACCACUAAAACUAUUUGAAAAAUAGCAGCUCAUUUUCAGUGUAAUGGAAGUGGAUACACAUGGGUAGGAACUUUGUCUACAUAUACAUUGUUUUGUAAAUGCCUUAAAAUCUCGUUUUUGAAAGUGUUCAGGGUUUGCCUCCUGCACGAUGCGCAUGUAGGCGUUUGUUAAGUUGCAUAUUACUGUGCUAUAUGUGAUACACAUAGAUUCAUGUGUGACGGGGUGCAGAUCCUCUCCAUUUUAUGAGGAAAUGACAAUCUCAAUUUCCAAUCAUAAAAACAAGACAUGUGGAAGGUAAGAUAUCAAUGGCUCUAAUUUAUUCCUCACACAUAAUCCUAUUAAUUAUUUAUUUCAGAAAUAAAAAAAUAUGUAAUCCUCCUCUCGCAAAACUUCAGAUACAUUGUACAAAAUCCAUUUUGGUUCAACAAAGAUGGUGGAGCACAUCAGCGCUCUAGUAGGAACGAGGUGGUAGAAAGUUUUUAUCCUAACUUAUAUCAUUUCGAGAUGAUAUGCAUGCGCUACACCAUGUAGCCUAAAGAGACAGUCACAUUGAUAUACUUUGACUUGAAUCAUGUUUUUAACGAGCUUUGUUAUUGGGUGAUCCAAAGGAUAAUUGGGUCGGGUCUUUUAAGCUUGUACCAUUACAAUAUAAUGAAUAUAUAAGUUACUAUCACUUAUAUAAGUGACUUUAUAUAUAGACUAUUACUUUUUACGCCCUAUCAUUUCCUACACACCUUUUUUUUUUACGAAAAAAUGUCCAUGAGAUUUUCGGAUUCUAUAAUUUGAAAUGAGUUUUCCCCCUGUUUUGGGGUGGAAAAAUGAGUUUUUUACUAAUUCGGAUUUUAUAAUCCAAACACCCUAAAAAAUAUGGCAUGUUCUUUUGCUUUUUUUAGCACUAAAGAAUUCGAACACCCCCUAAACACCCCUUUUGUGCCGAGAAUUCAGGGGAAAAACAGUUCAGAUUAAUCCAAACCGUAUCAGCACAAAUACUCAACCUGUUUGUAACACUGACAACCAGUUUAAGGACCAUACUAAUCUUCCUAAACCCAUCCUUGUGUUUUAGUCUGUUUUGGAUUAUAUAAUCCGAAAUGUGUCAAAACUCCAUAAAAAGUCAACAUUUGAAAAAAAGAUCGAACAUAUUUGCUUGCAUGCAGAGGGAAUCAGGACUAACCUUCACUUUAUUGUUUGAUUAACCUUCAAAUAUGAUGAUUUUGAGCAAAAACAUUCUAAGAUUGGACCAAUUUGUGUGGUUUGGAUUUUAAGAUAAGGGAGAGAGAAAGUAAAAAGUAAAAAGUAAAACCGUAAAAUAGGGAGAGUGACUGAACUUGAGUUUAUAUAUCAAAAUGGUUCGGAUUAUAUAAUUUAAAGGACAUUUUUGGAAUUAAAAUAGGGCACAUGAGUUCUUCAUAAUGUGAGAAAAGUAAUAGUCUUUAUUUUUUUUUUAAUAGUACAAUAAAAAUUAAUUAUUAUCAUUUUUGACAAACACCGAAAAAUAUAAAUGACAUAAGUCGUAAAAUGUCUACUGCAUAAUUGAAUAAGACGUCCAUAUAUCUAUUGUUUGCAUAGCCAUCCAUUAAAUCAAUAUCCAUAAAAUAUAUCAUAUAGAUAUUCAUGCAAAAUUAUAGAGUAUUUUUCAUAUAUCACAAUUUACAAAUCGAAACCUUCAAGAUAAUUUCUAUAAAAGUGUAGUACGACGUAGCAAAAUAAUUAUGAGCUAAAAACUUCAAAACAAAUAACAAAAUAGAUUAUAAAAUGGGUAGGGAUAUUUUAACCUUUAAUUCCAAUUUUAGAUAAUGGCUUAGAUUAAUUGAUAUUGUAGACUUUAAUUCUAUUUUCUAUUGUAGUUAACACUUAUCACCACAAAAUAACAAUUAAUCUAAGUCAUCAACCAAAAUUGGAAUUAAAGGUCAAGAUUUUGAGUAAGAUAUUGUACUUACUCUUGGAGUCAAAAUAUUCCCACCCUUAUAAAAUAUAUAAUUUAUUGGUCUAAAAUCUCAUACGUUUGAUUAUGCAUAUGAUAUUUUUUUUUAGGAAUUGAUUAUAAAUAGGGUUAAAUAAGUAAAUGGUCUCUAUAAAUAUUCAGAAUUUUAUUUUUAAUUCUUAUAAAAUAAAAUCAUAUUUUUUAGUUCAUGUGACAUUUUUCUUUAGCAUUUUAGGGACCGAAAAUGUUGACGUAAAAUUUUUAUAGAGAUUAAAAAUGUUGAUGGAAAAUUUACAGAGACUAAAAAUGUUGACGAAAUUUUUUACAAGGACUAAAAAGUGCGAUUUUAUUUUGUAAGGACUAAAAAUGAAAUUCUAGAUAUUUAUAGGAACCAUUAACUUAAUUAACCCUUAUGUACAAGAUUGUCUCUCUUUUAAUUUUGGAUCGAAUGACGUAAUAAAUAGUUGUUAGAUUAAUAUUUAUAUUUACAUUUACAUGUUUUUUUGAAGGAAUAAAUUCAUUGCAUUUCAUUAGCUAAAAUAUGCCAAAUACAUGUACGUACAUCAUUAAUAAUACGGAGCUAGGAUUAGACAGGGUUGUCUCAACUAACUCGUGAUCUACUUGCUUGCCUCUUGCUGAACUCAACAUGAGAGUUCUGAAAUUUAUCUACUAACAGCUGUUUACAAGCAAUAAUAAUACACCCAAAUUCAAUACUAUCAUCUAAACUAUACUAUUGACACAAUCAACAACUUUUUUACAAUCAAGUACCCACUCGUAGUCAUGUUGAUUUAGUGCACCAUGCUAGAUGUCACCUAAAUCACGCGUUAGUUAUGUGUUGAAAUUUAUUGCUUCAAGGAAAUUUCUUGCUCCUUAUUUUCCCAUAUUUGACCGGAGUUGACUUCACUUUUCUUUUUUCUCGUAAUGAUUUAUUAUCUCGCUGGCCACGCUACAAUACAAUACAACUCUUGAUUCUGUUUCUUAGAUUCCUAUUUCUAAACAAGGUAAUCUCUCUCUCUCUCUCUGAAAUUUUUGAAUUUUAACACUUCCAAUGCAUGUAGUGACAUCAAAUUUUCUUCAUUCCUGUUACAUUUUGGUUGCUUAAUUAAUUAUGAGAAAAUUAUUUUUGUGUCUAUUUAUGAAAAACUUGUAAGUUGUAGUUGGUUCAACUUCUAGAAGGAUCAAAAUUGAUCAUGAAGGUAUAGAAUUGAUUCUCACAUGUGUAAUUGCAUCUGAGUAAAAUUGAUUUUGUCUUAAAUUGAUUCUAUUUGUACCUAUAAUUUGUAACUUUUGAUUUUAAAAUUGAUUUUUACACACAAAUUUAUAGUUCAACACACUUUUACAUAAAUGUCACAAAACAUGCAUGGUGUCAUUUGAAUUUUUGUUAUUUUGAUGUUCAAAUGACAUAAUUGAUUAAGGGCAUAUUUGAAUUGGCUUUUUUCAGCUUGUCUACUAGCAUAAGUUUGAUGGGGUUGUUUGGUAGAAUUUUGGAAAACAGCUUUUCAUAAGCUGUUUUUAAGUUAUUUUCAUAAGUUCUUCAAAAUAACUUAUAAAAACAACUUAUAGCAUAUGCAAGAGUCACUGUGUUUGGAUUUGUUAUCAAGAGUGUCACUUACAUUACUCAAUGAGUGUCAAAUUUAUCCUUGACAUUACCAAACUUAAUGUUGUUCUAGCACCUAUGUCUACCAACACAGAGGAAAAUUUGAUUAAAGUUUUGCAGUUUUUGUGAUCAUGUUUACAGCUUAUAAUUUCAAGGUCCAAUAUGUGUAUUUACAACUUAACUCUAAUCCUAAAGUAUGUGAAGAAAAUUGUGAAUAGUCUCUAAAAUAUAUGAAAAACUUGUAGGAUUAUGUUCCAAACCAGCGCUUCUCUUAAUAUCCCAACCUUUAAGUAUGUAGGGGCUUCAAAGCUUGACUAACAAGCGAGAAAUUUGACUUUGAGAAAGUUUGUUCCUUUCCCAACAGGAGGAUGUAUAAAUCUCCAAGUCAGGCGCGGCAGCGCACUUUUCCAUUGCUUUCUCUAAUAGGAGCUCGAAAACCGGUACUUGUCUAGGCUGAGAAGUUUCAUAUUCAUGUCACGGUCUUUUAAAAGUAUAUGAUAUCAAUCCAUAACAUUUUAGUAGACAUAUUCAAACUAAAUUUUAUAUGCUUGAGACUACUUACCAUUUUCAUUAUUGAGUAGGAUAGACAGUGAUGUAUGAGGAACUAAAUUAAGGGUUUGUUGUUAAUUAUUCUUUUUAUAAUCUGCUAAUUAGAGAGUGAUAUUUGAGGAGCUAAGUUCAGGGUUUAUUGUUAAUUAUUCUUUUUAUAAUCUUCUUAUUCGAGAGUGAUAUUUGAGGAGCUAACCUCGGGGCUUAUUGUUAAUUAUUCUUUUUAUAAUCUGCUUACAAGUCUAUGUGAUAAAAACAUUAAAUCAUUUGUGUUUGCUAGCUGCACUAUUUUAUCGAGGAACAAAGCACAAACUUAGAGUUUGAUGGAGAUUGGAUAGUAUAGAUUAUAACCUUUUAUUGAAUAGGAUUCAAUGCACAAACUUAGAGUUUGAGUCAUCUGAUUUUCAUCUAAUGGUUUCAGGUUGCUAACUGCUGAUUCUUUCAAUUCUCAACGCAAAGAAUUCCAAUAAAGCUAUUAAUUCUGUUUCUUGAUUCAGAUUUCGAAACCAGGUAAUUCUAUCUCUAUAUUUGUUGCAAUUAAAACUCAUGUAGUCACUGCAGUCAGCUAAUUAGGACCAGAUGGAGAUUCAAACAAUUUGCAUUAUUCUGACUCUAGUGAAUAUGAUUCAAAAUGUAAACUUUGAGUUUGAGACAUCUGUUUUUGAUACAAUGGUUUCAUUUUGUUAACUGCAGUGACUGUGUGAUUUUUUUUUUUUUUUUUGACCGAAGACUGUGUGAUUUUUAAACUAUAUCAAAUCCAUAUAAUCUUUCUCCAUCACUGAGUAUUCUAUUAAUUAAAAAGAAGAAACCAUUUAAAUCCAUUAUACACAUGUUUGUGAAUGCGUGAUUAGUUUUACUCAUGCUUGUGUUAACUUCAUUUGCCAAAGGAUGGAAGCCCUUGCUGUUACAGUCUUGGAAAAGUUGAGUUCUGCAGCUUACAAAGAGCUUGAAAUCAUUUGGAAUCUCAAAGAGGAUAUCGAACGAAUGAAGAACACAGUCUCCAUGAUAAAAGCUGUUCUCCUCGAUGCAGAGGCCAAGGCCAAUAACCAUCAAGUUAGUAAUUGGUUGGAGGAGCUGAAAGAUGUACUUUAUGAUGCAGAUGAUUUACUAGAUGAUUUUUCUGUUGAAAAUUUGAGA